CGAGCUCAGCAGCUCUCGGAGGAGGUGACAGGGAAGCUGAGAACUGCGGGAGAAGAAACUGGGUGGAAAUAACAAAUGUUCGGGCCACAGACAGCAGCAGUGAGAACUGUCACCAAGAAUAGCACUGUGUUUUAAUUACUCUCCACAACGUCCCCACAGAAAGGAUUACAGGGAAGCUCCCCUGUGCCACAUGUGGACUCACACAGGCAUGGGAAAAAUCAAAAAGAACUUCACUCCAGCGGAAGUUCUAAGGAACUCCUUUCAUUG